GAGAAUGACGUGUGCUGGUGCAGAGGGGGUGGGGGUCUGCGGGCCUGGAUCUGUGGACGGGCUCCUAAUCCUCUUGUUUUCGGAACCGUCAGCAGAUGCGGCUUCCUUUACCUGAAUAAUCCUUUAAAGGAGUAAUAAUUUUUAAAAAGGAGCUCGACCUCAGCCAAAGAGGACGGCGCACGAGAUUAGGGCUUGUAGAUCCACUGCCUUUGGUUGGGCCGGCUGAAUCGCUGGGGACUGCGGCCAGUCUCUUAAAAAAGGAGAACAAAAAGCCGAAGACCUUGUGUGGCCGCCGGGACAAAGCACCUUGGGUUCGGCGAGAAGGGACGCGCAGGAGCGCUGAACCCAGAACACGCGUGGCCGCUGCGGAAGGGCGUCCGCCCGGCGUGCGGAACGCUGAGGCCGCAUUAUACACGAGUGACCUUUUAAAUCUACGUCCACCCUUUACCUGCGAGAGGACUGCAGCAGGCGAGUUCCGGAAGGCUGAAUCCCCAGGUCCCAGCCCCGGACCGCGGCAACUCGCCCCUGCGGCACGCCCGGCCCGGCUGCGCCCCCACUCAGCGAUGGAGAAACAGCCCAGAUCUCCUCUUAAGCGGAAAAGAGAUUGACCUUCUAGCAGAGGCAAAGAAUGGAGUCUUCUGGGGGCAGCUGCAAAGCGUUCUCCCUAGGACAGAUGGAGCCUCCCUUUCCUCAUCUACUCUGUGGGUGGUUUCAGGGCCCACGAGUCAACAUGAGGAGUUGUGCUGGUGGUAUGUGUGUUGGAGGCUGGGCUGGCUGAUUCACAGUGACGAGGAUGUCAAUAAUAACAAGAAUGAGAAUGAUGGUACCUAAUAAAGACUUUUUUUCCCAA
rnacentral:lncRNA from 1 species